rnacentral:rRNA from 2 species
AGAGUUUGAUCCUGGCUCAGAUUGAACGCUGGCGGCAGGCCUAACACAUGCAAGUCGAGCGGUAGAGAGAAGCUUGCUUCUCUUGAGAGCGGCGGACGGGUGAGUAAUGCCUAGGAAUCUGCCUGGUAGUGGGGGAUAACGUUCGGAAACGGACGCUAAUACCGCAUACGUCCUACGGGAGAAAGCAGGGGACCUUCGGGCCUUGCGCUAUCAGAUGAGCCUAGGUCGGAUUAGCUAGUUGGUGAGGUAAUGGCUCACCAAAGCGACGAUCCGUAACUGGUCUGAGAGGAUGAUCAGUCACACUGGAACUGAGACACGGUCCAGACUCCUACGGGAGGCAGCAGUGGGGAAUAUUGGACAAUGGGCGAAAGCCUGAUCCAGCCAUGCCGCGUGUGUGAAGAAGGUCUUCGGAUUGUAAAGCACUUUAAGUUGGGAGGAAGGGCAGUUACCUAAUACGUGAUUGUUUUGACGUUACCGACAGAAUAAGCACCGGCUAACUCUGUGCCAGCAGCCGCGGUAAU